GACGAACGCUGGCGGCGUGCCUAAUACAUGCAAGUCGAACGAGUGGCGGACGGGUGAGUAACACGUGGGAACCUACCCAUCAGAGGGGGAUAACGACGGGAAACAGUCGCUAAUACCGCGUACCAUAGGCUGAGCCCAAGUGGGAUUAGGUAGUGGGUGGGGUAAUGGCCUACCAAGCCGACGAUCUCUAACUGGUCUGAGAGGAUGACCAGCCACACCGGGACGUAGACACGGCCCGGACUCCUACGGGAGGCAGCAGUGGGGAAUAUUGCGCAAUGGGUGCAACCUGACGCAGCCAUGCCGCGUGAAUGAAGAAGGCCUUCGGGUUGUAAAGUUCUUUCGGUGACGAGGCGUUAAUCACAGAAGAAGCACCGGCUAACUCCGUGCCAGCAGCCGCGGUAAUUC
rnacentral:rRNA from 1 species